rnacentral:lncRNA from 1 species
UACAAAGAGCCGGCUCUCAGAGCCAAUGCUUGUGCGCAUGACCCAUCACUAACGGACACACCCCUCUAAGAUGUCACGGCAUAUUAUUUGAGGAUAAAAGGCAUAUUCUUCAUCAGUAGAUUAACACAUUCUCCCUCUUUCUGCAGCCAAGCAAGAACAGACAAACAAUACUCCUUUUUCACAACAGGAUGAGAGAUCUUGGAGAACAUUUGAAGAUUUUCAGUUGAUAUUGGAAACUAGAAGAAAAUGAGAGAUCCACUCAUCAACAUCGGAGAAGGAAGCGUGGUGAUUGGAUUAAGUACAGCGGACGUUGACGCGGUCACCGCCCACGGCUUCUUCCGACCAGCCAGCCAGAAAGUCAGACCUGUCGGUCCAAACACCACUGAGAGUGACCGAAUCUUUGGGGUAGAACCCACAUGGUUGAAUGCACUUAUUGUAAGUCGCUUUGGAUAAAAGCAUCAUCUAAGUAAAUGUAAUUCAACGUAAUGCAAAAGACUUGGUGUAUAUAAGUUAUUUCAGUAACU